rnacentral:precursor_RNA from 1 species
CCAGGCAUCCAGGGGGGCCGUCCGUGUGUCCUCUGGGGGGCCCUCCUGGUGCUUGCGU